rnacentral:rRNA from 1 species
UGAACGCUGGCGGCGUGCCUAACACAUGCAAGUCGAACGGAGUCCAGCCUUUAAGACCUUCGGGUCAAAGAGGGGAAGACUGAGUGGCGGACGGGUGAGUAACACGUGGGCAACCUGGCUCAUAGAGGGGGAUAACAGAGAGAAAUUUCUGCUAAUACCGCAUAAGCACACACUGCCGCAUGGCAGAGGGUGAAAAGAGAAUCGCUAUGAGAUGGACCCGCGUCUGAUUAGCCAGUUGGCAGGGUAAGAGCCCACCAAAGCGACGAUCAGUAGCCGAUCUGAGAGGAUGAACGGCCACAUUGGGACUGAGACACGGCCCAAACUCCUACGGGAGGCAGCAGUGGGGGAUAUUGCACAAUGGGGGGAACCCUGAUGCAGCGACGCCGCGUGAGUGAAGAAGUAUUUCGGUAUGUAAAGCUCUAUCAGCAGGGAAGAUAAUGACAGUACCUGAAUAAGAAGCCCCGGCUAACUACGUG